rnacentral:rRNA from 1 species
CGUGAGAUGUUGGGUUAAGUCCCGUAACGAGCGCAACCCUUGUCCUUAGUUGCCAGCGGUCCGGCCGGGCACUCUAGGGAGACUGCCGGUGACAAACCGGAGGAAGGUGGGGACGACGUCAAGUCAUCAUGGCCCUUACGACCUGGGCUACACACGUGCUACAAUGGCCGGUACAAAGGGCAGCGAAGCGGCGACGCGGAGCGAAUCCUUAAAACCGGUCGUAGUCCGGAUUGGAGUCUGCAACUCGACUCCA